GCGGGUGUAGUUUAGUGGUAAAACCACAGCCUUCCAAGCUGCCGUCGCGAGUUCGAUUCUCGUCACCCGCU
rnacentral:tRNA from 6 species